AUUGAACGCUGGCGGCAUGCUUUACACAUGCAAGUCGAACGGUAACAGGCCGCAAGGUGCUGACGAGUGGCGAACGGGUGAGUAAUGCAUCGGAACGUGCCCAGUCGUGGGGGAUAACGCAGCGAAAGCUGUGCUAAUACCGCAUACGAUGGAUGGAUGAAAGCGGGGGACCGUAAGGCCUCGCGCGAUUGGAGCGGCCGAUGUCAGAUUAGGUAGUUGGUGGGGUAAAGGCUCACCAAGCCAACGAGCUGUAGCUGGUCUGAGAGGACGACCACCCACACUGGGACUGAGACACGGCCCAGACUCCUACGGGAGGCAGCAGUGGGGAAUUUUGGACAAUGGGCGCAAGCCUGAUCCAGCAAUGCCGCGUGCAGGAAGAAGGCCUUCGGGUUGUAAACUGCUUUUGUACGGAACGAAACGGUCUGGGUUAAUACCCUGGGCUAAUGACGGUACCGUAAGAAUAAGCACCGGCUAACUACGUGCCAGCCGCCGCGGUAAAAC
rnacentral:rRNA from 1 species